rnacentral:lncRNA from 1 species
AUGAUGUUGAAUUUUUUAAUUUUUUUAAAAAAAAGCAAAUGUAAUUGUUUAAAAACGCAGCUAAUAAAAUUUAGUUCUUGUCAUAUUAACUUAAACAACAUAAAAAAGGAAAGAACAAUUUUUGAAAAAUUAUUACAUAUAGGUAAUUACAUAAAUAAAUAUGUAACAGAUGACACAAAUAACAUCAGUGAUAAUGAGAGUAAUAAUAUCCAUAGUGGUAGUGAUAAUGAAGUGGUAAAAAGUUAUAGUCACAAUCCCGAUAAGUUAAUAUAUGGAAGUGUUGUUAUGAACAAAGAUGUAUUAAAAAAAUAUAGCCAAUAUAUUGAGAAUGAUUAUGAAGAGUUAAAAAGGAAAGUUAAAAAAGAGAUAAAUAAAAUAAAUGGCGAAUGUAAUAGUAGUGAUGAAUAUAGUAAAAACAGCAAUAAAUAUAAUUCUUACUUAUACGAUUGUAUAAUAAAAAACGAAUAUAAUGAUUUAUUAAUUGCUGAUGUUAUUUAUGAAAAUAAAAAAAAGAUUUUAUGUUUGGGGGAAGCCAAUUUAUCUUUUAGUGCUUUAUUACAAAAGAAGUUACCCUUAUGUGAAAUAGUUGGUACAUCGUUAGAAGAUAAAAAAAUAUUAAUACAAACAUAUGGUAAUAUAUUUAAUAAAAAUUUAAAAAAAUUAGAGUCAUGUGGAGGAAUAUAUAUUCCUAAUGUUGACGUUGAAACGUUGGAUAAACAAUUAGCUAGUACUGUUUUUGACGUUAUUAUUUUCAAUUUUCCGUUUGUUUUACCUACUGAGGAAUUUAUUCGAGAAAAAUGGAAGGGUUGUUUAGAUGGAGUAGAUAACAAAAGUAAUAAUAAUGGAAAUAAUAACUACAUAAAAUUUUAUCGAAAAGCAGAAUAUUACUUAACAAAUAAACUGUUGUACCAUCUAUUCAAGUGUUCAUCCACUUUACUUAAAAAUAAUGGAUAUUUACAUAUAAGAAUUACAGAUAAAUAUUUAACCUGUAAUUUUAAAAAUUCGUUUAAUUUAAAAUUUUUACAGAAAAUUAAUUUUUAUAAUGCAUAUCCAAUUUAUGAGUCUCAAAAAUAUAUACCAGCCAUGUACAACACAGCUAUUACUAAUACUGACAUUGCACAGAAUAAUAAAAAAACAAAAAAAAAAAUUAUUAUGUACACUUCAAAAGGCAUUACAUAUAAAAAAUUCAAAAUGAAAAACACAUCAACGUUGGUUUUUCAGAAGAGUUAA